UUCUGGCUCAGGAUGAACGCUGGCGGCGUGCUUAACACAUGCAAGUCGAACGGAGUUUAGAUGAAAGCUUGCUUUGACUAAACUUAGUGGCGGACGGGUGAGUAACGCGUGGGUAACCUGCCUUAUACAGGGGGAUAACAGUCGGAAACGACUGCUAAUACCGCAUAAGCGCACGGAAUCGCAUGAUUCAGUGUGAAAAGAUUUAUCGGUAUAAGAUGGACCCGCGUCUGAUUAGCUAGUUGGUGAGGUAACGGCCCACCAAGGCGACGAUCAGUAGCCGGCCUGAGAGGGUGAACGGCCACAUUGGGACUGAGACACGGCCCAAACUCCUACGGGAGGCAGCAGUGGGGAAUAUUGCACAAUGGGGGAAACCCUGAUGCCAGCGACGCCGCGUGAGUGAAGAAGUAUUUCGGUAUGUAAAGCUCUAUCAGCAGGGAAGAAAAUGACGGUACCUGACUAAGAAGCCCCGGCUAACUACGUGCCAGCCGCCGC
rnacentral:rRNA from 1 species